rnacentral:lncRNA from 1 species
GUGUGUGUCUGUGUGUACGUGGGGAUCUCUUAGUGCACUACACACUUCUGUAAAUUAUCAGGACUCCUCAAUUGAGGUGAGUCUACAGAGAUUUCAAAGGCUAUUUGAGUGCUAAGCUAUCUAACUAGUGGUUGGACACUAUUUAAAUAAUGUGUUAAACACAACUCUUGAGGCUCUGAAGAAUUUCUAUGCUUUCCAAUGAACCAGGAGUUACAAGGUCCUGAAAACCACAAGUGUGUUACAUCCUUUAAUAGAUAAAGCAAAGCUGAUAUUAAUGUGAAUAUACUUUAUAUUUACUUAUAUUCGUGUUAAUUUUUCUUUGCCUGUAAUACAUAUUUUUAUAUAAUGGGGAAUAAGAAACAUCUUAGGAAAAAGAAAACAAAAAAUAAAAUUUCACUGUUUACACUGUGCCUUGGUCCAGUAACCCUGCACUGCACAUAUACACUUUAAAUUGGUGUCUUGGGGAACCACCUCGGUAUUUCAUUUUAAUAGCGCAUCCUGGAGAAUAUAUUUGAGUGGAUCACAUAUUACAACUGAUUUAAAUUUUGACCCAUAUAGAAAUGUUUUCAAAAAUAUGUCUGAAGCCUGGAUACUGUAAAAAUGUUUAUCAUCAUAGAAUAAUAAAAGGCUAGCCAUUAGUUACUCAGAAAUUGUUCAGUAAAUCUAAGAUGACUUAGACAUAAAUAGUUAUGAGUGAAUAUAGUUCAUCAUUAAUGUUUGUAAAAAUUAAUGCUGUCUUUUAUGGUUGAGAAAAACUAGAAAUGUAACUUAAUUUGAUAGAGAUAAAUGACAUAAACUUUACAUAAAGCAAGAGAAUAAUAGAUGUGUAAAAAUGUUUUGUAGAUAAGAUUUUAAGAUGAAAUUGUGCUGAACGACAUGAAUCAAAUGUGUUUUGCAUACUACAUCUGCAGCUACAACAUCACAGCCUUUUAAGUAUUUCGUUAACUUCAAAAUGUAACUUAUUGCUGAAACAAUCUGAUUUAAUGAAUUGGGAUAACGGGUAAUGAUUGGUGUCAGCUGAAAGCAAUGCUACAAUUUUAAAGUUAGAUUUCUUUGUGUAUUAAUACAAACACCAGAGAAGAUGGUCAAUAAAGUAAUUACUGUACAAUGCCUAUCAUAAUACUUAAACCUGGAAGAAAAUCAGAAAAUGUUAAGUGAAUAGAAUUGGUGAAUUGUUUCCAUUUUAUACAAUUUUUUGUUCAUUUUAGGGCUUACCAAAACUUGCAGCUCUGAAUAAGGCCCAAUUAUUUACUCCUUCAAAUAAAACAAGACUGCAAGAAUAAGAGUGAAUGCUUUGUUUUGUUUUGUUUUUCACUGAAAUAUUCCAGUCUGUAGCAGCUCCAAAUCACACUGAUCUUUCUAGAGUCUGAUACAGGUCCUGGUCUCAAGGCCAGUGUUACCAUAAUCACCAUCUUUUGUGCUUCAAGGUUGAGCCCUCCUAAUUUACCUGCAUGAAAUUGGAAAAGUCCUGUUUCAUACUUUAAGCAACCUAGAUGUCUCUUUCACUAAAAGUGGUAUUCUUCUUGUGUGUUUUUUUUUUUUUUUUUUGCAGCAAAUGAUGUCAACUUCUACCUACACCUGACAUCUCAAUUAAUUUUUGACAUUUUCUUCUUCACAUUUCCAUUUCAAAUCACCAAGUAUUGUCAGAUUUUACCUUCUCUCUAUUUCUUGAAUGAAUUUUUCUCUUUCUAUCUUCAUUGCCAUCAUGGAUUCCAGCCCAUCACUCUCUCACCUGGGCUAUGGUGC